rnacentral:rRNA from 1 species
AGGGGAAUCUUGCACAAUGGUCGAAAGGCUGAUGCAGCGACGCCGCGUGGAGGAAGAAGGCCUUCGGGUUGUAAACUCCUUUUCUGGGGGACGAAUAAGGUAGGCAGGCAAUGGUCUACCGAUGACGGUACCCCAGGAACAAGCACCGGCUAACUUCGUGCCAGCAGCCGCGGUAAAACGAAGGGUGCAAGCGUUAUCCGGAAUCACUGGGCGUAAAGGGCGUCUAGGCGGCUUGUUAAGUCGACGGUGAAAGGCCUCGGCUCAACUGAGGAAAGUCCGUCGAAACUGACAGGCUAGAGGAACGCAGAGGGAGGCGGAACUCUCGGAGUAGCGGUGGAAUGCGUAGAUACCGAGAGGUACCUCGAUGGCGAAGGCAGCCUCCUGGGCUUUUCCUGACGCUGAAGCGCUAAGGCCAGGGGAGCAAAGG